rnacentral:rRNA from 1 species
AGAGUUGCGAUCCUGGCUCAGGACGANACGCUGGCGGCGUGCCUGAAUACAUGCAUAGUGCGAGCGUAAUCUGACGGGAGCUUGCUCCUCUGAAGAUUAGCGGCGGACGGGUGAGUAACACGUGGGUAACCUGCCUGUNAAGACUGGGCAUAACUCCGGUGAAACCGGGGCUAAUACCGGAUAACUUUUUUCUUCGCAUGAGGGAGAAUUGAAAGAUGGCCUCGGCUAUCACUUACAGAUGGACCCGCGGCGCAUUAGCUAGUUGGUGAGGUAACGGCUCACCACAGGCGACCGAUGCGUAGCCGACUUGAGAGGGUGAUCGGCCACACUGGGACUGAGACACGGCCCAGACUCCUACGGGAGGCAGCAGUAGGGUAAUCUUCCGCUAAUGGACGAAGAGUACUGACGGAGCGAACGCCGCGUGAGUGAUGAAGGUUUUCGGAUCGUAAAACUCUGUUGUUAGGGAAGAACAAGUAUCG